GUAUUUCCGCCUCCGGCACCUCACGCAGUUCCGCCAUGGCCUCUAAGGAAGCGGGUCGUACGCCUACCCGGUCUCGGCGGGAGCCGCAGCGGCCCUCCCCGUACCAGAACAAGUAUUCGGUGCUUUUACCAACCUACAACGAGCGAGAGAACUUGCCGCUCAUCGUGUGGCUGCUGGUGAAAAGCUUCUCUGAGAGUGGGUUCAACUAUGAAAUCAUAAUCAUAGAUGAUGGAAGCCCAGAUGGAACAAGGGAUGUUGCUGAACAAUUGGAAAAGAUCUAUGGAUCAGACAAAAUUCUUCUAAGACCACGGGAGAAAAAGUUGGGCCUAGGAACUGCAUAUAUUCAUGGAAUGAAGCAUGCCACAGGAAACUAUAUAAUUAUUAUGGAUGCUGAUCUCUCACACCAUCCAAAGUUUAUUCCUGAAUUCAUUAGAAAGCAAAAGGAGGGUAAUUUUGAUAUUGUCUCUGGAACUCGCUACAAAGGAAAUGGAGGUGUAUAUGGCUGGGAUUUGAAAAGAAAAAUAAUCAGCCGUGGUGCCAAUUUUAUAACUCAGAUUUUGCUCAGACCAGGAGCAUCUGAUUUAACAGGAAGCUUCAGAUUAUACAAAAAAGAAGUUCUACAGAAGUUAAUAGAAAAAUGUGUUUCUAAAGGCUAUGUCUUCCAGAUGGAGAUGAUUGUUCGGGCAAGGCAAUUGAAUUACACUAUUGGUGAGGUUCCAAUAUCAUUUGUGGAUCGUGUUUAUGGUGAAUCCAAGUUGGGAGGAAAUGAAAUCGUGUCUUUCUUGAAAGGAUUAUUGACUCUUUUUACUACUACAUAAAAGUUGUUCAUUGCUACUUAUGUUCAUUUCAAUUGAAAUAUAAAAGGAGCCCUGUUUCUGAUUUUUAUAACAUGUACUCUUAGAGCAUAAACCAUAAGGCCAAAGAGAAGAGUCCAUGACUUGAGUUGGAAGAAUGUCAAGGCCCAGCACAGCAGACCUGUAAAAUGCAGCCCUUGUCCACUGAAUACCCCACCUCACCAGGAAGGCCUCAGGGUCUAGGAGUUGCCUCAUCU